GUGGGGAUUAUUGGACAAUGGGCGAAAGCCUGAUCCAGCCAUGCCGCGUGUGUGAAGAAGGUCUUCGGAUUGUAAAGCACUUUAAGUUGGGAGGAAGGGCAGUAAGUUAAUACCUUGCUGUUUUGACGUUACCGACAGAAUAAGCACCGGCUAACUUCGUGCCAGCAGCCGCGGUAAUACGAAGGGUGCAAGCGUUAAUCGGAAUUACUGGGCGUAAAGCGCGCGGAGGUGGUUUUGUAAGUUGGAGGUGAAAUCCCCGGGCUCAACCUGGGAACUGCCUCCAAAACUGCAUGACUAGAGUACGGUAGAGGGUAGUGGAAUUUCCUGUGUAGCGGUGAAAUGCGUAGAUAUAGGAAGGAACACCAGUGGCGAAGGCGACUACCUGGACUGAUACUGACACUGAGGUGCGAAAGCGUGGGGAGCAAACAGGAUUAGAUACCCGAGUAGUCC
rnacentral:rRNA from 1 species